GCCAACCUGUUCACCAUUCCCUAUAAAGGAGCUGCUGACUGCCCAUUCACCAUUACCCAGUUCUUGAUCCAGUGGCUGUUUGGUGGCACAGAGAUUCUACUCCAACCAUCUACCAUGAGGGUCCUCUUGGUUGUUGCUGCUGUUUUCCUUGUCUUUCAAGUUGCUUUAGGGAAUGACCAUGAAAAAGAUCUGAAUGUGACUGCUAGUGCCCGCCAUCCUCCGUGUUAUAGGAAUCGGGGAUUCUGUCUGCUGUUUACAGAAAAUUGCCCCUCGGGAAAAGUAUAUGAAAGAAGAUUUAAUGAUUGUCCUCAACAUCAAGGACGGAGGAAAUGUUGUGUGAAGGAAUGAAAUGUACUGAAGCUGAUGUGAACACUGUCAGCCACUGAAGGAUUAAAAAAGAUUACAUAAUCCAACAUUCCAAUAAAAGAUAUGUCUUCACUAGA